AGGUUCUUAAUAAAUGUUUGUGAUAUGAAUACAUGAGACUUUGUGACAUAAUACUUUUACUUUCUAGGUACAUGGUCCAGUGGCCUGGUGGCCGAAUCCUGCAUCGCCAUGAACUAGACACCUUUCUUGCACAGGCAGUAUCUACCCAGCUUUAUGAACCAGAUCAACUCCAAGAACUCAAGAUCGAGAAACUGGAUGCCCGAGGAAUCCAGCUUGCUGCCCUCUUUAUGAGUGGAGUUGACACAGCUCUGUUUGCUAAUGAUGCCUGUGGCCAGCCGGUCCCUUGGGAACACUGCUGCCCCUGGAUUUACUUCGAUGGAAAGUUGUUCCAGAGCAAGCUUAUUAAAGCAGGCCGAGAGCGAGUAUCCCUGGUUGAGCUCUGUGAUGGCCAGGCUGACCUGGCAACCAAAGUGGAAAAGAUGAGGCAGAGUAUCCUUGAAGGAGUCAACAUGAAUCAUCCACCACCUUCAGCUCUACUUCCAUCACCUACUUUUGUGCCUCCCAUGGUUCCCUCUCUCUACCCUGUUUCACUUUAUUCCCGAGCUAUGGGCUCAGUGCCACCUCACCCUCAAGGAAGGAGCCGAGGAUUUGCAGGUUUCCAUCCAAUCCCAUCCCAAGGAGGAAAACUGGAAAUUGCUGGGAUGGUGGUGGGCCAGUGGGCUGGCAGUGGAUCCUCCAGAGGCCAAGGAUCCUUUGGCAUGCAAGUGGUUUCUGUCGGUGGGCCAGGAAAGGGGCAUGAAAAAGAACAGACUGGUAGAGGACCUAGAGGACACAAAAAAGGGAAUAAACAAGUAAGUAUCUUUGUUUUUGAGAUUACCCAACUUUUGUUUGAUACCUUUUCUUUUUCAGCUAACUU
rnacentral:lncRNA from 1 species